UCAAAACUUUCAACAACGGAUCUCUUGGUUCUGGCAUCGAUGAAGAACGCAGCGAAAUGCGAUAAGUAAUGUGAAUUGCAGAAUUCAGUGAAUCAUCGAAUCUUUGAACGCACAUUGCGCCCGCCAGUAUUCUGGCGGGCAUGCCUGUCCGAGCGUCAUUU
rnacentral:rRNA from 2 species